CCGAGUGGGGAGCGUGGGUCCGGGGCACCGCAGUGGGGCUCCCCACGCCGGGUAUGUGGGUCCCACGGGUGUCAGCACCCUCUGGGUGCAAGGAGCGUUUUAAAGGGACACCCACGCCUGGGUGCGCUGAGCCCGUGGCGUCGUACGUGGGAGCACGGGGGCUGAGCUGGGGAGCCCGCUGUUGCCCACCCGGUCCGGCGCUGCCGUGGGAGCGUGGCUCUCCUUGCUGCUGAAGGCGCCAGCGUGGGUCCCAGCCCUGGGGUCUACAGCCAAGGCAGAGCGUGUUGCCGCCCACCUUCCUUUCUGGUGGGUGACUGGUGUAGGAGCCAUUUGUGCUGGGAGGGUGGGCGAUACCUUCGUACCCCCCCCCAGUUUUCUCAGGCUCCCCGGUGACUGCCUGCCCGUGGGCUGAAGGCAGGUAGGGCUGUGACAGCCGCACGGGUACAUCCGUAGGGUGGACUGCGUGGAAAAGGAGCGUGACAGCAGCACCUCCUCUAUCUCCGCUCAUCAUCACUGUCUGCUCCAGCACGUUUGCUCAGCCCGACUGUCCCCUGGCAAGCACAAGCUACUCGAGGCGCUGCUGCCGUUCCGCUUGGCCUUCGUGGACACAAACAAGAUGCGGUGGUUUACUUCCGUCAGAUAGAAGGCACGCUGCAAUUCCCUGUUCCCAGAAGAUUUAGAGCAAAGACAAAGAAGAGGGAAGAAAGAAAAAGAAAACAGAAGAACGAAUACACUAUUAAAAUGUUCACUAUCAGAAAUGUCCUGACUUUGCUGCUUAAUCCACCUCCCGCUAGCACGGAGGAGCCAGCCCAGGCCCCACCUUGUGGAAGCUGCAGAGCAAAAUGAAAAUCAUUUAGUGGAACCAGAUGUAGUUUUUUGGCAUGGAUGAAGUGUCUUGGUCUUCUCUGCAAAAUUACCCGUUCUGUUAUCAUCAAACGCAGAGCGUAACAGAAGCUGGUAAGUGGGGUGGUUAUGUUGCCAAGAUAAGGCAAGAAGAAGGACUGGAAACUGCAGACAUUGGAAAGGCAAUAACUGUCUCUGUCCACUUGACCCUUCGCCAUGAGUCCCCGAGAUGUCUGCCAACAGGACCCUUCCCAGACAAACCGCAGAAGCAGCAGCAGUGGAACAGACGAGGUGAAACCCUGGUGCCACCCGGCCGAUGACCUGACCUCACAAGGCAGACUAAUACAGAGUCAACCAAAAUUAUCCCUGGCAGGACUCCACUCCUUUCAAUAGCCUUGUGAUUCCUGCCCGGUGGGUGCUGUUGGAGACCUAGCGGGAGACCAGAAAGAAAAGCUUCAUGAAGAACUAAAAGAAUGAGAAAAUUAUUCUGAGAAAUCACCUCCGCAGGGCAUGGGGAACGGCAGGCUGAAAUCGGCGUGGUCCUGAAUACACCCAGGGCAGGGUGUUAGCUCUGACUGUGAGACCGGGGCAUAUGGGUGCUGCUCCCUCUUGGAUCAUACAACGCUUACCUGCCCUGCCAGAGGGGUGGCGGGCAUCGCGCGCAGCCAGAGCCGCAACAGACCGAGUGCCACCACAUCAGGCUAAAAGGAGCGCCUUCUUAAAGGAAAAAAACCCCUACCAAGCUUUCCUUGGAAUAUUAAACAAUUGUUUUUCAUUCUUUGGAGGAAUCCUCCUUCCUACAUUGAAAAUGAAGGCUCAUGCCAGUACAGUCGCUCUUUCUUCUUUAUCUCCGCUUGGCUACAUUUGGAAGAGAUUAGCGUUGCAUUUGUUUGACAUCCAGGUUAAUAGCUUCCCUUCGUCCCAGUCUCGGCUUCCGGUUUUGGCUAUCUGGAAAGCCAGGCUGGAAAUUAAUCGACAAACUCUGGGGAGAGGAUCUCGGAAGAAAACUCAGAACAGAUUUGAAAAGAGGCUGCUCUAAACUGUGCUGAUUUGGAUGGAAGCCACCAGUGAAAAUUAGAGAUUUUUCAAGAGUUUGCUGCCAAGGAGUUAAUGGCUGAGA